rnacentral:rRNA from 1 species
UACGUAGGGGGCUAGCGUUGUCCGGAAUCAUUGGGCGUAAAGAGCGUGUAGGCGGCCCGGUAAGUCCGCUGUGAAAGUCGGGGGCUCAACCCUCGAAUGCCGGUGGAUACUGUCGGGCUAGAGUGCGGAAGAGGCGAGUGGAAUUCCUGGUGUAGCGGUGAAAUGCGCAGAUAUCAGGAGGAACACCGAUUGCGAAGGCAGCUCGCUGGGACGUAACUGACGCUGAGAACGCGAAAGCGUGGGGAGCAAACAGG